GCCGCUGUAGCUCAAUGGUUAGAGCACCUGGUUUCCGACCUAGGGGGUACGGGUUCAAGCCCCGUCAGCGGCUCCA
rnacentral:tRNA from 1 species